AUACGUAGGUGGCAAGCGUUGUCCGGAAUUACUGGGUGUAAAGGGAGCGCAGGCGGGGAGACAAGUCAGCUGUGAAAACUAUGGGCUUAACCCAUAAACUGCAGUUGAAACUGUUUUUCUUGAGUGGAGUAGAGGUAGGCGGAAUUCCGAGUGUAGCGGUGAAAUGCGUAGAUAUUCGGAGGAACACCAGUGGCGAAGGCGGCCUACUGGGCUCUAACUGACGCUGAGGCUCGAAAGUGUGGGGAGC
rnacentral:rRNA from 1 species